UUGCUUUAGCAGCACAUGCACUAAAACCAGAACGAUACAGAGAAUAUUAGCAUGGCCCCUGUGCGUGAAUGACAUGCAAAUUCAUGAAGCGUUCCAUAAAAAA